AUUGAACGCUGGCGGCAGGCCUAACACAUGCAAGUCGAGCGGCAGCGGGAAAGUAGCUUGCUACUUUUGCCGGCGAGCGGCGGACGGGUGAGUAAUGCCUGGGAAAUUGCCCAGUCGAGGGGGAUAACAGUUGGAAACGACUGCUAAUACCGCAUACACCCUACGGGGGAAAGCAGGGGACCUUCGGGCCUUGCGCGAUUGGAUAUGCCCAGGUGGGAUUAGGUAGUUGGUGAGGUAAUGGCCCACCAAGGCGACGAUCCCUAGCUGGUCUGAGAGGAUGAUCAGCCACACUGGAACUGAGACACGGUCCAGACUCCUACGGGAGGCAGCAGUGGGGAAUAUUGCACAAUGGGGGAAACCCUGAUGCAGCCAUGCCGCGUGUGUGAAGAAGGCCUUCGGGUUGUAAAGCACUUUCAGCGAGGAGGAAAGGUCAGUAGCUAAUAUCUGCUGGCUGUGACGUUACUCGCAGAAGAAGCACCGGCUAACUCCGUGCCAGCCGCCGCAGUAA
rnacentral:rRNA from 1 species